rnacentral:lncRNA from 1 species
AACAGUCAUACUGGUAGCAGGAGCACAGAGAAGUGCCUCUUGAUUGCUGGUUCAGGGGGAAUGACCCCGAGCAUUUGAGGAGAGGAGAGCCUGUGGUCAGCUGUUUCGUUUUGGGGCUCUUCCUGGCCCUUAGAAGACCGAGAUGUGCCCGACUGCACAGAAGAUGAAGUUGAAGUCACUCUUCUAGAAACUGCCUGGUGCAGAUGCCAUGGUGACAGAUAUGAAAAGGAUGGGCCUUUGAACAUGGCUCAGCUCACCAGACAUGACAUCUGGA